rnacentral:rRNA from 1 species
GUUUUUCGCUUGAAGAUGAGUCCGCGUGAGAUUAGCUAGUUGGUGAGGUAAUGGCUCACCAAGGCAUUGAUCUCUAACUGGUCUGAGAGGAUGGUCAGUCACACUGGAACUGAGACACGGUCCAGACUCCUACGGGAGGCAGCAGUAGGGAAUAUUGCGCAAUGGAGGAAACUCUGACGCAGCGACGCCGCGUGAGCGAUGAAGACCUUCGGGUUGUAAAGCUCUGUCGCAGGGGAAUAAGAAAGUG